rnacentral:rRNA from 1 species
GGCGUGCUAAUCUGCGAUAAGCGCCGGUAAGGUGAUAUGAACCGUUAUAACCGGCGAUACCCGAAUGGGGAAACCCAGUGUGAUUCGUCACACUAUCAUUAACUGAAUCCAUAGGUUAAUGAGGCGAACCGGGGGAACUGAAACAUCUAAGUACCCCGAGGAAAAGAAAUCAACCGAGAUUCCCCCAGUAGCGGCGAGCGAACGGGGAGGAGCCCAGAGCCUGAAUCAGCAUGUGUGUUAGUGGAAGCGUCUGGAAAGGCGCGCGAUACAGGGUGACAGCCCCGUACACAAAAGCGCAUGUGCUGUGAGCUCGAUGAGUAGGGCGGGACACGUGGUAUCCUGUCUGAAUAUGGGGGGACCAUCCUCCAAGGCUAAAUACUCCUGACUGACCGAUAGUGAACCAGUACCGUGAGGGAAAGGCGAAAAGAACCCCGGCGAGGGGAGUGAAAAAGAACCUGAAACCGUG